AAACUUCGCCAAUUCACAAAAAGCCAAGCUGCCCUUUCCAGCAGGCAGUCACAGCCUAGUACACAGAAGAGGAGAUCCACCUUUAACCACCAAGCCACAGACUAAGCUGCAGGGUCUCACUCUGCAGCCCUGACUGGACAGGAACUUGAUCUGCUGACCAGACUGGCCUAAGAAUCAUAAAGAAAAGUUUGCCUCUGCUCCAGAGUGCUAGAUUAAAGGGCUGCUCCACUCUGCAUGACUUCUAGUAAUUCUGCACAGUUACUAAUGAAAUAAACAGCAGCUGUUAAGAUUCA